rnacentral:rRNA from 1 species
AGUGAACGCUGGCGGUAGGCCUAACACAUGCAAGUCGAACGGCAGCACAGUAAGAGCUUGCUCUUACGGGUGGCGAGUGGCGGACGGGUGAGGAAUACAUCGGAAUCUACUUUUUCGGGGGGGAUAACGGAGGGAAACUUACGCUAAUACCGCAUACGACCUACGGGUGAAAGCAGGGGAUCUUCGGACCUUGCGCGAUUGAAUGAGCCGAUGUCGGAUUAGCUAGUUGGCGGGGUAAAGGCCCACCAAGGCGACGAUCCGUAGCUGGUCUGAGAGGAUGAUCAGCCACACUGGAACUGAGACACGGUCCAGACUCCUACGGGAGGCAGCAGUGGGGAAUAUUGGACAAUGGGCGCAAGCCUGAUCCAGCCAUACCGCGUGGGUGAAGAAGGCCUUCGGGUUGUAAAGCCCUUUUGUUGGGAAAGAAAAGCAGCAGGUUAAUACCCCGCUGUUCUGACGGUACCCAAAGAAUAAGCACCGGCUAACUUCGUG